rnacentral:rRNA from 1 species
CGCGGCCUAUCAGCUUGUUGGUGAGGUAACGGCUCACCAAGGCAUCGACGGGUAGCUGGUCUGAGAGGACGAUCAGCCACACUGGGACUGAGACACGGCCCAGACUCCUACGGGAGGCAGCAGCAGGGAAUAUUGCGCAAUGGGCGAAAGCCUGACGCAGCGACACCGCGUGAAGGAUGAAGGCCCUCGGGUUGUAAACUUCUUUCAGUGGGGAAGAAGCGAAAGUGACGGUACCCACAGAAGAAGCCCCGGCCAACUACGUGCCAGCAGCCGCGGUAAUACGUAGGGGGCAAGCGUUGUCCGGAUUCAUUGGGCGUAAAGAGCUCGUAGGCGGCUUGGCAAGUCGGUCGUGAAAUACCGAGGCUCAACCUCGGAACGCCGAUCGAAACUGCCAUGGCUAGGGUCCGGUAGAGGAGAGUGGAAUUCCCGGUGUAGCGGUGAAAUGCGCAGAUAUCGGGAGGAACACCAGUAGCGAAGGCGGCUCUCUGGGCCGGUACCGACGCUGAGGAGCGAAAGCGUGGGGGGCAAACAGGAUUAGAUACCCUGGUAGUCCACGCCGUAAACGUUGGGUACUAGGUGUGGCGGGUUCAUCAAUGCCCGCCGUACCGAAGCUAACGCAUUAAGUACCCCGCCUGGGGAGUACGG